GGAGUGAGACAAAACUCACAACAUGGAGGGCUGGCAGGGCUGCGGCUGGAUACCAGAAAGGAAGGAAAAUACCCACCCAACUUCCAGAGUAGCCUCUUGCUCAGGAUUGGAGGAGGGAGGCUGCCCAAAGGGGAUUACUCACUGGUAAAUGCCCUACCCUCUCCAUUUGGUACAGAACAGAAUCCCCACCUAGCUGGUGGCUUGAUGCUAUUUUUUCCACCAGCAGACCAGGGUAAGGGGCUGGGACCUGCCUCUCCCUCACAGCCACUUCCAAGGCCUA